AUUGAACGCUGGCGGCAGGCCUAACACAUGCAAGUCGAGCGGAUGAGGGAAGCUUGCUUCCCGAUUUAGCGGCGGACGGGUGAGUAAUGCCUAGGAAUCUGCCUAUUAGUGGGGGAUAACGUUCCGAAAGGAACGCUAAUACCGCAUACGUCCUACGGGAGAAAGUGGGGGAUCUUCGGACCUCACGCUAAUAGAUGAGCCUAGGUCGGAUUAGCUAGUUGGUGAGGUAACGGCUCACCAAGGUGACGAUCCGUAGCUGGUCUGAGAGGAUGAUCAGCCACACUGGAACUGAGACACGGUCCAGACUCCUACGGGAGGCAGCAGUGGGGAAUAUUGGACAAUGGGCGAAAGCCUGAUCCAGCCAUGCCGCGUGUGUGAAGAAGGUCUUCGGAUUGUAAAGCACUUCAAGUUGGGAGGAAGAGUUGUAAGCUAAUAUCUUGCAGCUUUGACGUUACCAACAGAAUAAGCACCGGCUAACUCUGUGCCAGCAGCCGCGGUAAUAC
rnacentral:rRNA from 1 species